rnacentral:lncRNA from 1 species
CCCAGCUGUCCCCUCAGACGGCAGCCCGUGGCCGUCCCCUUCGCCGUGGGAUGCGGGGAUUUGGGGCGGCUGAAGGAGUCGGGGCCCCCACCGCUGUAGCGCUGCUGCCCCCAUUAGGGCCUGGAACCCCGAGCGUCCAGUGCUGCCCAUGGUGCCCCCCAAGGCUGAGGUUUCAGUCUGCAGUCUGCUGAUCCGAAAGAAAGAAGGCGGAUUUUGGAG